rnacentral:rRNA from 1 species
ACUCAAAUGAAUUGACGGGGGCCCGCACAAGCGGCGGAGCAUGUGGAUUAAUUCGAUGCAACGCGAAGAACCUUACCUGGGUUUGACAUACACCAGAAAGCGGCAGAGAUGUCGCCCCCCUUGUGGUUGGUGUACAGGUGGUGCAUGGCUGUCGUCAGCUCGUGUCGUGAGAUGUUGGGUUAAGUCCCGCAACGAGCGCAACCCUUGUCCUGUGUUGCCAGCGCGUGAUGGCGGGGACUCGCAGGAGACUGCCGGGGUCAACUCGGAGGAAGGUGGGGACGACGUCAAGUCAUCAUGCCCCUUAUGUCCAGGGCUUCACACAUGCUACAAUGGCCGGUACAGAGGGCUGCGAUACCGUGAGGUGGAGCGAAUCCCUUAAAGCCGGUCUCAGUUCGGAUCGGGGUCUGCAACUCGACCCCGUGAAGUUGGAGUCGCUAGUAAUCGCAGAUCAGCAACGCUGCGGUGAAUACGUUCCCGGGCCUUGUACACACCGCCCGU